GAGCGUGGGGGGGUCACCUGAAAACGAUGGCCGACGCACACUGUCCUGCUCCCCUUCUGCAGCCUCGGCUCUUUCCCUCUCUAUCUCUCCCACACGCGCACACACACACACACACACACACACACACACACACGGUAUGCAGUUCAUCUAAAUGCAUGUUUGCAGGACGAAACAGAGGCAGCAGAUUUGUAGGAGCAAGCGUUUAGCUUUAUAAUUACUUCAGGAAGUAUAAUUAAUUCAGGUUGCUCAUUAAAAAGACCAUCUAUAGUUCUCUAAUAAACCGUUAAUAAAAUGUGAACAUUCAUCGAAUGGUUUUGCCGUCAUGGGGGGGGGGCAGAAGGUUGAUGUGUAUAUGAUUUGUGCUCCGCACCUCUUUAUUAGGCAUCCCAGCAGACUCAGAGCUGUGUGUCAGUGGGUGGGAGGACGUGUGUGUGUGUGUCUCAGGGGUGGUGUCCAUCGUCGUCAUGGAGACCCCAGGGUGUGGGAAGCAGUCAAAACCUGACAGGGCUGAGUUUACUGACUCAAGGUGACUGGGCCGAGGGCACAACAGCACACAACAGGGAGACAAUGGCCGCUCCAUUAGUGCUAAUGGGGGACACAUGUAACAGGAUUAGGGUGAGGACACCUGGGGGAGGGGGGGGACCACAUGGGGAGAUAGUACACCCCCAAACCCCUCCCUGUCCUGUCCCACACCAUCAGACGUGCACAAAACCAGGAAGCUGCUGUGGAGCGGCUGACUGCCCGUCGGGAUGUUUGCCAUUUUUGAACCUGUAGAAUAACCUGUUUAACCUGUUUGAACGCAGAGAAAGCGUCUAAAAAAAUGUUUUUAGGUUUUAGCAAUAAAUGUAUGUAUGUAUGAAUAUGAAUAUAUAUAUAUAUAUAUAUAUAUAUAUAUAUAUACACAAUUUCAAAACUUGAUUAAAAGUUUUCUCUAUUGAAUAUAAUUAUUAUGUAAUUUAUGUAAGUGAAAAACAACAAUAAACCUGAGCUUGAUUUAGCACACACAGUAUAAAAAGCCAAAUAUACUUAUGUAUACAUGACGUUUUAAACAUUAAGACAGUGCUCUAAUAUACUUAGUUGAGAAGCUUUAUAUACAUUGAGGUAAUUUAAUCAAUAACAAUGCAUCAUAUUUGAUCAAAUAAAAUAUUUUGUGAUGGAAAGUAGGAUGUAAGUAAAGAAAAGAAGAAGUAACUUUAUCCGAGACAUAUAUGCAGUACUUGCAUUUAGCCACUUUACAACAAUUGUCAAACCGUGUUGUCAUUAUAUUUGGCUUUUUAUCCACUACGAAGUGCUUACAUCUAUGUCUGUAACGUACUAGUGUAACCACAGUUAUUGUAUUUGGAAAUCAAGCUCUCUUCUGAUCACAAAGAAAUGAAAACGUCUCAAUUACUUUUUGAAUUAUAAGGUAAUUAAUUGAUUUCCACAUCACUACAACCCAAACCUUCCCCAGCAGCAAUGUAAAUCAAAAGGGAAUAAAUCUAAGGUGGAGGUCAAUGAACCUCCAAUGGGGGACUGUGAAUCUCCCUCUCAAUCUCUCUUGUGCCGCCCCGCCAUCCCUCACACCCACCUUUUUGCGUCUCCCCCCUUCUGCAAAUUCCUGCACUCUGCCCAAGACGCCCAGUCAAUUAAUAAGACAUUGUCUCCUCCCCUUGGAGCCCGUCCACAAGAGGCCACCCAGGAGCCGGCGGGCCUUCCCUCCAAAGCUGCUUCACUGGUGGCCCCCAGGAAUGCCAACCGCUUUGGGAACUGGCAGAACAGGGUUGGAUGGCUGGAUGGAUGGAUGGAUGGAGGGAGGGGGGAUAGAGGGGUGGGAA
ensembl:lncRNA